UACGGAGGGUGCGAGCGUUGUCCGGAAUCACUGGGCGUAAAGGGCGCGUAGGCGGUCUGCUAAGCGUGUGGUGAAAGCUCGGGGCUCAACCCCGAGUCGGCCAUGCGAACUGGUGGACUAGAGCACUGUAGAGGCAGGUGGAAUUCCGGGAGUAGCGGUGGAAUGCGUAGAGAUCCGGAAGAACACCGGUGGCGAAGGCGGCCUGCUGGGCAGUAGCUGACGCUGAGGCGCGAUAGCGUGGGGAGCAAACAGG
rnacentral:rRNA from 1 species